rnacentral:misc_RNA from 1 species
UCUUCAGGAAGCUAGCUGUAGACUGACACAAGGUAAAUAUGAAAGGGAUAUUCCUUUUGUUAUCAUGACAUCAGAUGACACCCAUGCUCGUACAUUGCAACUUUUAGAAUCAAAUUCUUACUUUGGAAUGAAACCAUCACAAGUAUAUCUUCUUAAGCAGGAAAAAGUAGCAUGCUUAGAAGAUAAUGAUGCCAGGCUUGCAGGGGAUCCACAGAACAAGUACAGGAUUCAGACCAAGCCACAUGGCCAUGGUGAUGUGCAUUCACUUCUUUAUUCUAGUGGCCUUCUUAAUAAAUGGAUCGAUGCUGGUUUGAGGUGGAUUCUAUUUUUCCAAGAUACGAACGGGCUUCUAUUCAAGGCAAUUCCAGCUUCAUUGGGUGUUAGUGCCACCAAACAAUACCAUGUUAACUCUCUUGCUGUUCCUCGGAAAGCUAAAGAAGCAAUUGGAGGAAUUACCAGGCUUACUCA